CGUGCUUUGAGAGCUCAGCGGGACCGUGAUCGGAGGGCAGUACAGCCGGAAGUGUGUGCAGCCGAGGAAUCUGCAUAGACCCACCAGUGAACUAUUCUACAUUAGUAAUUCUGUUAUUCCUGUUUCCUGUUUUUUUUUUUACUUGAAUUAAUUUGAAUUAUAUGUGAUUUACACAUUC